AUUGAACGCUGGCGGCAUGCCUAACACAUGCGAGUCGAGCGGAAGCAUGAUCUAGCUUGCUAGAUUGAUGGCGAGUGGCGCACGGGUGAGUAAUACAUCGGAACGUUCUCUGUGGUGGGGGAUAACUAGUCGAAACUUUAGCUAAUACCGCAUACAACCUGAGGGUGAAGGUUCGGGACCGCAAGGCCUCUUGCCAUAGGCUCGGCCGAUGUCUGAUUAGCUAGUUGGUGAGGUAAAGGCUUACCAAGGCGACGAUCAGUAGCUGGUCUGAGAGGACGAUCAGCCACACUGGAACUGAGACACGGUCCAGACUCCUACGGGAGGCAGCAGUGGGGAAUUUUGGACAAUGGGCGAAAGCCUGAUCCAGCAAUGCCGCGUGUGUGAAGAAGGUCUUCGGAUUGUAAAGCACUUUUAUCCGGGAAGAAAUGGCGUUGGUUAAUACCUGGAGGCGUUGACGGUACCGAAAGAAUAAGCACCGGCUAACUACGUG
rnacentral:rRNA from 1 species